GCCGAAUUUUGUAUGUUUAUAUUGAACAUCGAUCUUUACUAUUUUGAAAUAUGUUGAUGAGAUCGUAUGAAUAUGGUUCAUUUUGUAUUUAGUGGAUUUUUAAGGAAACAUGAUAGUGAUAUACAGUUUCAUUAGCGAGCAAAUUAAGGAAAAUGUAGAGAGAAUGUUUUCUUUUUGGGUUUUUUUAUUUUUUGCAUGGUAUAAAGACGGAAAUCUGUAGUUAACGUCCUUUUGGAAUUUUUAUGAGGAGUGUAUUAUCUAGGAUCUAUGUUAGUGAUAUCGAGAUAAUUUCAAAAAUAAACCCAGUGAAUUGUAUCUUUCUGAUAUGUUUUAUCUGUUAGUAAUUUUAUAUUUUUUAUGAGAGUGUGUGUUCGUAAAUGGGUUUGGUACCAUGAUUCUGUGAGAGAUAGUUGAUAUAUUUGUUUGAAACUUGCAACUUAUGAAAUGUGAUCAUUAUAGGACAUUUUCACAAUAUUGUAAGAG
rnacentral:lncRNA from 1 species